CUUCCACCUUCAAAGAAUAGGCAAGAGGGCCAACCAUGGAGAAUAGUAAGACACUUCAUUAUUUCUAUAAACGUAUCGUUUGUCCUUGUGGGUCCGUUCAUGUUUUUCAGCAUAAAGUACUCUGCAGCCACUUAGUGUGGUGUGGACACCAGGUGAAGACACCUGUAAACACAGGGUCAGUUUUAACUACCUUAUUUUCUCAAUAACAGUCUCUCUCCUUCACUUCAUCCCUCUCUCCCCUUCUCCCUAAAUCCUCUAGGUUAUAUCAGCUGUGUCGGUGAACCCCUCCUGCAUCAGAACUGGCUACAUAGAGGACACAGCAUGAUCAGAGGUAUGUUUUGAUGUGAGAGGAUGCCAACCCCCAGUCCCAUCAUCGCCACCUCACCUGCUUUUAAGAUAACAGUGUCUCUAGUCGGCCCAAUGGUUAUGUAAUUGUGAUGAACUGAGAGAACAGUUAUGUAGCACUGUGAUUCAUUAAUCAUGUGCUGCCUUCCCUGCUCCUAUGUGUUUACCUCUUUCCCUUUCUGUCUUUAACACCUCUCUCUCCUCCUCCUCUUUCCCUUUCUGGCUUUAACACCUCUCUCUCCUCCUCCUCUUUCCCUUUCUGUCUUUAACACCUCUCUCCUCCUCCUCCUCUUUCCCUUUCUGUCUUUAACUGUCUUUCUCCUCCUCCUCUUUCCCUUUCUGUCUUUAACACCUCUCUCUCCCUCUGUUUUUAUAAUACACAACAGAUGUGGAUUGAUGGACAGAUUGAACUUGUAUUUAUAACACUUGGAUAAUGAGCUUUUCAAUAAAGCGUUUCACAUUC